UUCUAAGUUACUUAGAGCAUACGGUGGAUGCCUGGGCACAAGGAGCCGAUGAAGGACGUGGGAGUCUGCGAUAAGCCU
rnacentral:rRNA from 1 species